UGGCUCUACCGUCCGGCCUCCAUAGACAUUCUUUCGGAAACCACUUGACUGGCGAGGACAUCCGACUGACAUUCUUGGCGGCGCACAAAUCAUCAAGGGCUUGGUGUGAAACACGAUGUUGGCACUGUAGCCUGACUUGGAGCAGGAGAUGCUGCACUCCCCUCCCAGCUCCACCCAUGGCACAGUCAGGAUCGACCUGGAGGCAAAAACUCAGAACUCGUCGGCAUCAUAGAACUCGUCCUCGCUGGAGGAGUAGGAGAAGUCUGGCACUGCGUG